rnacentral:rRNA from 1 species
AUUGAACGCUGGCGGCAUGCCUUACACAUGCAAGUCGAACGGCAGCGGACCUUCGGGUGCCGGCGAGUGGCGAACGGGUGAGUAAUAUAUCGGAACGUACCUUCAGGUGGGGGAUAACGUAGCGAAAGUUACGCUAAUACCGCAUAUUCUGUGAGCAGGAAAGCAGGGGAUCGCAAGACCUUGCGCUGAUUGAGCGGCCGAUAUCAGAUUAGCUAGUUGGUGAGGUAAAGGCUCACCAAGGCGACGAUCUGUAGCGGGUCUGAGAGGAUGAUCCGCCACACUGGAACUGAGACACGGUCCAGACUCCUACGGGAGGCAGCAGUGGGGAAUUUUGGACAAUGGGGGAAACCCUGAUCCAGCCAUGCCGCGUGAGUGAUGAAGGCCCUAGGGUCGUAAAACUCUUUCGCUGGGGAAGAUAAUGACGGUACCCAGUAAAGAAACCCCGGCUAACUCCGUG